rnacentral:tRNA from 2 species
GGAGGGGUACCCAAGCGGUCAACGGGGGCAGACUGUAAAUCUGCUGGCUCAGCCUUCGCAGGUUCGAAUCCUGCCCCCUCCACCA